GACGAACGCUGGCGGCGUGCUUUACACAUGCAAGUCGAACGGUGAAGGUGGAGCUUGCUCCGCCGGAUCAGUGGCGAACGGGUGAGUAACACGUGGGCAACCUGCCCCUAACUUUGGGAUAACUACUCGAAAGAGUAGCUAAUACCGGAUAUGAAGUCUGUAGGCAUCUACGGAUUUGGAAAGGUUUUCGGUUAGGGAUGGGCCCGCGGCCUAUCAGCUUGUUGGUGAGGUAGUGGCUCACCAAGGCGACGACGGGUAGCCGGCCUGAGAGGGCGACCGGCCACACUGGGACUGAGACACGGCCCAGACUCCUACGGGAGGCAACAGUGGGGAAUAUUGCGCAAUGGGCGAAAGCCUGACGCAGCAACGCCGCGUGCGGGAUGAAGGCCUUCGGGUUGUAAACCGCUUUCAGCAGGGAAGAAGCGAAAGUGACGGUACCUGCAGAAGAAGCACCGGCUAACUACGUGCCAGCAGCCGCCGUAA
rnacentral:rRNA from 1 species